rnacentral:lncRNA from 1 species
UUACUCCCCCAUAUUAUGGUUCUCAAAAUCUUCCAUGGUCACCGGGGAUACAGCUACCUUAUAAUUAAAAUUUGCAUCUAUUUAUGAUCUGCGUUCAAUAAAGCCAAACUGAUUAAUUAUCGGUUAUUUCAGUUUCUUCACGUGAGUCUAUCAAUAUUACUCUUAUUUUUGUAAACAGGUACUAAUUACUUUGUCCCACAUCCAUAAUUGUAUUAAAUAAACAUGUAAGCCAACUUAUUCCUGUGUCCCCUAAAGGUGUCCACACGUCCCCAGGAAUAUCAUGUGGUUCAACUACUUUACCGAUAUUUAUUUUUCAAAGUGCUUUAACAACUGGUUUUCUUGAGGUUCUAAGAUUGUUAUAGGCUACAAUUAUUGGUUGUAACCAAAAUUAUAUUUUUUAUUUUUGUAUUUUUCACGGUUCGACUUCCACUCCGCAAAUCGUUAUCAAAAAUUAAAAAAAAA